rnacentral:rRNA from 1 species
GAGCACCGGAGGAGCGAAGAAAGAACUGCAGGUGAGGUUCAGGAGACCUAGUACAAACAAGGUUUUUAGUGAGAGGGCUUCCAAAGUAAGGCAAACCUAAGGUAAACUAUAAGGAAAAGACGCUUUGUGAUUUUAUCCGUUUUUUGUCGUUAAACGUGACCCGGAACCCAAUUAUACAAUCAGGGUUUUUAUUAUAUUUUCACAUAUUAUUUCGGGUAAUUUGUAGGUUUUGUCUAUUAUAUUAUCGUACCUUGUUAUUUUUUAAUAUCUAUGCAACCUCUGCAUAGUGGGCCGUAGGGUUCGAUAAUAAGUUUUUACUCGCUGGUUGAUUCGAUACCUGAACGAGAUCACGAAGUGAAUAAAAUGAGCCUUGCUGGUAGCCAUAAAAUGAGCCUUGAUAUAAAAAUAAGCAGUGUAUGAUACACAAAACGAACCUCGCAGAACAUACUAGACUCAGAAACGAACAAAAUAAAACACAAAAUUCAGAACUAGGGAAGGACCUGUGUGGAUAAACUCUCUCGGUUUUAAUACAGUACUGAACAAUCUUAACGAGAGAUACGAAGUGAAUUAAAAAAAUAUUCGAUACCUGAACGAGAUCACGAAGUGAAUAUAGAAAAACUCGUGCCACACGAAAUCAUAAAAGCUUCUUUACGAGAGAACGAAGUGAAUCUAAACAAACUCUCAAUCAUUUUAAAAGUUCUUUAAGAGAGAACGAAGUGAAUUUAAUUAAACUCUCUUUCUUUAUAAUACGAGUAAUAGAAGUGAAUAUAAACAAACUCUAACAGUUUUCGUUGUUUACUCUUAAUCAGGGUUUCACCAUCUAUAGGUUCUUUCUAUAUUAUUUUUGAAAGUACUUCUAGUAACGUGUUUUAUUUGAACUAAGAAUCAUUAUCAAAACUCUAUACUACUACUCUAUACACUCAGUAGGACUACUCAUUAAUACGAAAUCAUUCUUAUAACCACAAUUCCAAACACUAAGGGAUACGUUCGUGCUUUCAGUUAUCAAUACGUUACUUUAAUAUAGGAUGCAUACCACGUAAUACGCCACAAUCAAUACGAAUUACGAGCGAAUACUCUUAUAAGCAAAGAACCAACCAGCGAAGAGUUAGAAAACGAUCGGAAGUAAAACGUAAUUCAUACUAGAGAUGAACACGUAGGUUUUUGGAAAUUGGUUCAAAACGGUGUACUCAGGUGAUAUAGAUCGUUAUACACCAUAAGAAAACGGAAAGAUUCGUUUAAACGUACACGGUAGAGAUUAAAAGUUUUUAUUUGAAGAGAAAACACACAAACAAAGCGAGCACCUCGCCACUCCCCACCGAUUAUAAAAGGUACGAUCUACACAAUAAGAGUUCUACUCACAAAUAAGUGAACAGUAACGUGCUCUCAUUCCGUUUCCAUAAUCCCUACGGGUCAGGGCUUUACGUUUUUUUACUUAAAUGAAAUACAACAGUUUAUUAUUUAAGGAACCUUUCACAACCAUACCUCCCGUGGGCACCUAUGCCAAUCGGUACCUUUCACUUUCAAACCACCUUUUUACUUAUUUGAAAUAAAAGAUAAACUCUUGGCGGAUACUAUAUAGAUACGUACCUUUCAUAACCCUUGAGAUUCAGCAAAGGCAACCACCCUACCUAUGUGGAGGGUUUUACAAAAAUAGAGAUUCAAAAAGCGAAACUCGAGACCGUGGAGAUGUUUAGGGAUGAAGGGAGACGCUUCCCGGAUAGAAAAUAAAAUACGUUUAAAAAAAACUUAAACUCAGAGGUAGAAGAGAAUAUUUUCGUGGUUGAUCCUCCGUUAUACUAGCAUGAACUCAUAACCUGUAUCGAUUAUACACUCACACAAAGUACUUACCUAGUUUCCAACUCGUACUACCCGAUCCCUAUCGAAUAAAAUCGCAACUAUAAAACUUUCUGUACCAAUGAACAACUAUACGAACUCAUAAAUUUAAUAGUACAGUUUUGAUCUGAUAACUAAACUUCUUAUAUUUUCAGGUUUACUGGUACGAUAUUUCUUUCUUUAUACUAUGUACAAUCCGUCGUAAGGUGUAGUUUUUAAGACAAAAAUAGUGAAGGGAUGAGCUCCUGCUCAUCCUCAAUUCGAACCCCUACGAUUAUGCAGAGGUUGUAUAGAUAUUACAAACUAACAAGGUACGAUAAUAUAAUAGUUAGAACCUACAAAAUAUUAGUAAAAUAUCAAUAAAAUAUAGUAAAAACCAUGAUUGGAUAACUGUAUCACGGUUCACGGUCAACGACAAAAAAGGUACAAAAAAUGUAGCGUCUUUUAGUUAUAGUUUACCUCAGGUUUACGGUACUUUGAAAUGCCUCUUAAAAAUACCCGGUCUUCCUUGUGUUUGCCCGGGACCGACGCGGACCCCCCACGGGGCUCCCUCCGUGUUGGGUGGUCCCGCGCGGUCCUCCGGGUCCGCGCGGGACCACCCAACACGGGUGGAGCCCACGGGGGGCCUGGCGGAGAAACGAGAUAUUUAUGGGGUUAUAAGGUCUUUGGGAUCCCCUCAGCUGCUUUAUAACUAGGUCGGCGGCGUCUCAGGUCUUGGUGGUCUAGGUUAGAUCUGUGGUAGAGCCUACCCCAAGUGGUGGAGGUAACCACGGAGAGGCUACUACGCACUCAUCAAGAAACAUCUGGAAGCCCAGGCAUCAAUCAUCGAUCUACCGAAGUAGAGAAAGAGAACUAAGAGUUAUAUCACCAGAGAACCUCUAGGUAUACUACAUUGAGAAAAACGCCACACAAACAACCCUAGCUACUUGAAACUCAAAUACUAGUAUAGAUACAAAAAUAUAGGUACUUUCAUAAACUCAAAGAAGCUAGAGAAAAUACGUACUAGAGAAUAUCGGAGCAUAAAGAAGAGGAUAUAAACCCAAAACAAACCGGUUGAACUAGAUAAAUAGAACGUUACCAUUCUCCACGAAACAUCACCCAAGCUAGAAUGCCACGAACUAGGGUCACUGUCUUUCCCUUGGCUGUGCAUACAUAGCAACGAUGAUUCCUAUCUUGCUACCCCAGAUAGAGAUGUAUCUAUCCAGAACAGAUGUAGUACAGUAGCAAGAAUAACGUAAUGAGGUAAAGAGGUACUUGGAUUGUGUGAUAUACGUACGACCUAUCGCCAGCUACACACCUCAUUAUCAUCAUCUACGUCCGUCCUCAGCCAGAUGAUUAGAACCUGCACUAUGGAUACAUUACUAGUAACGGACCUAUAGCAGUACUCAUAAACUUCAAGAUAGUUAAAGGGUUGUCAUUAAACAAGUGGGUGGCGAAACGAUAAAAAGAGCUCUCUUCGGUGAUCACUUUAGAUGCGGGGGGGCCCAGAGAAAGAGUAUAAUAAACGGAAACGCUAGAUGAAAAUAAACGUAAAUAAAAGUCUAGAUAAUUAGGUUUUUAUGUUUUUAUGAAAAGACGUGAAAUAAAAUAAACGCUAGAUAAAUAGGUUAGUUAAUGUUGGUAAAAGGGCAGUGCGUGGUUAAAAACCGUGGCGAUGGGCUUCCCCUAACUGUUGGGGAAAGUGUGUAGCCCAACGCUUCUAAACAAUAGACACACGUCCCCGACAAAUGUAACCCAACGAACCAACAGGAUGACCAAGCUAUUCGAACCAAAGUAUAGACUCCCUUUAUGGAUGGCGGCGACACGACGUAGUAGGGAAGGAGAAAACCUUUAUGGGUGCAUCGAAGUUCACUGUAGUUUCCCCGGAUACCAACCUGUUGAUUGAGAACUACGUCCCGUACAAAGCCACUUCUACAUUAAACUUGUGUUAGGGGUGAAGCUCCGUAACAUUCUUGCAGAAUUACCAACAAAAGGCCUCGUGUUUAAUUCUAGCACUACUAGAGCUGGUGUUUUUAUAUCAACAUUCUUAGUUCCGGAGUAUGGGUACGGUUAAAAAUAAAAUUCACAAAAACCAUCGUUGACACUAGUGUUAGGUCAGGUUUUUGAUCUUUAAUUAUGAGAACGGUUUCACAACACUUUCGGGAACAACACUCGUGUGUAGGUGAGCAUUUAUACCCUAUACUCCUGUUAUCCUCAUUUGCUUAGUUGCUAUCCCUUUGGUGUUGAAAAAGGUUGAUUUGCUUAUUGUUGGAUUUGUCCGUGUACCUAAAUCGUCGUUUUUCUUUUUUUUUGUAUUAGUUUUAUAAUUCAGGUCACCCUUUUGUGUUAGGACGUCUUCGUCCCAACGAAUCCAUUUCCUUGAGUUUAGGUACUUUAUACUUCGUCGAGAUUCGCGCCAGUAUUACCCACCUAGCUUUUUUCUGCAUCGACACUAGCAGUUGUAAGUCCUUUGUGUAGAACGAGCUCUCAUUGCCGCGGAGGCAGUGCAAACCCCUCUCUCUUUCUCUGCGUACUCGGUUCUGUAGACCACUUCCUGUUACGCCGUUCCAAUUCGCCUGUUUAUGCUCGUCCGUUUACCCGAUUUGUACAAGAUAAUCCGAAGAUUAUCCCCCAUAUGGCUGGGUAUAAACAACGGAUCGAUCGGACAGUGGUCGGACUGUCUAAGGUUUAGGGUUUCGGGUAAACUUGCCUGGUCUAACACCGGAUGGGUCACAGGUCUGCGGUUUUCUGUCUUGAGCUUCUAGGAUCUGAUAGUAGUUUUUCACUUAGAAAAAAUUCGAGUGCCGAAAGUAGAAGAGGAAAAAUAGGAAAAUGGGUGUGAUCAUUCGACGGUUCCCAUAGAUUGUGGAGUUGCUGGAGAAGGUCCGGUCGCUACGAUCGAGAAUGAUAUUUACAUGGACCAAGUCUGUGGACCAUCUUUAUCAUCUCUACAAUCUCCGCUACCAGUACAUAAAAUAAUAUUUAAAAAGGAUUUUAUUAACACUAUCAAUAAUCAUAUUUAUUAAAAGAUCACGAUUCACUGAACGUAAAACACAGUUUUUGAUAAAAAUAAAUCAAACCUAUAAAAAAACAAACACGAGGGUUCACAACGAGUCUCACGAACUCAUCCUACUCUAAAAGGAUUUUUCAAAAAAUUCAUCACCACGUUAGUUGAUGUGCAACAGAAGUAUCAACAGCGAGAGCGAAGAUAUUAUAAGACAAUCACAGACUAAUUAUUUUAGUGGUUUUAUCGCUCUACUUUUUAGUAUUGGCGAUAAGUAGAUAAGAAUGCCUAGAAUCCUACUGAGCCGUUCUACCCUACUACAACCCGUACUAUGAAAAUAAGGAUGCCUCGUACUAAAAAGACUCCACCUACAAUAGCUGGUGCUGUCAAUAUGUCUCUUGGAAAUCGCGCUAGAUUUGAACUAACGUUAAUCAACCCUCUACAACCAGAUAGUAAUUUUGUAGUUAUAGAAAGCUAAAGUAUUUGAAAAUACGAGAAUAAAAGGGAUGUAUUCCCAACAAAUUAAUUCUUACUUCAAAGACUGUGAUACUACUCGAUAAGAGGGAAUAAAUAUGAUUUGAAGAGAUGAGGUGUUAUUCUUAAAGAGUACAAUUGUUUUAUAAAACUAUAUAAUAUAAUUAAGAUAAAAUAUUCAUAUUGAUAGUUUUAAUUCAUAAAUUUGUACGAGUGUAUAAAUUAAUAUUAUUGAAGUAUUUUAACACCAUAAAAAAUCAUAUUUAUGAGAAGAUCACGAUUCACUGAACGUCAAAAAGCCGGUUUGAUAAAAAUUAAUCAAACCUAUUAAUUGUUUCAUAUAUAGAACAAUGUUAUCAAAAGUGGUUUCUAGAUGCGUUUGUUUAUAAUAGUAGUAUGAGGUGUUUAUUUAAAUGCGAUCACUUAUAGAAACUAAAAAGUUACGUAGGAGUUAUAGAUAUAUUAAACCGUUUUGGCAAAUAAUACAUACUUAGCUCAUUGGACCAUCUAUAAGAAACUUAGUUAUGAUUGUUCAAAGCUAUAAUGAUUGAUCUAUUUAGAUCUCGUAUGUAUUACAGAUCUAACGCACUCAUAAUGUUUAUGUUUAAGCUCAUUCAACAUCAUAACUAGCAAACGAAAAAAUGUACCUAAAAAAGAUGUUUUUACCACACUGAACGGAUUUUGUACGUAGGUAUAGUUCUAAUAGCAACUUGAUCGGAGAGACUUUAAACGAACUUGGUUGAGACAAACUAUUCUAAAGUUCUAAGUGGAGUAGACGAUUAAACUUUUAACAUAUAGUGCGAUUACAUGUUCGUACGAUGAAAAAUCUCAGGAUGCUUGUUCCCCACCCGUCCGUCGUUAUAAUCACCGUCUCGAAGUACCCCCGGUUGGAGCCGGUACGGGGGGGGUGGGGCGGGUUUUAUUUGUACGUAUAUAGGGAAACAUGUACGGAUAAAAGGUGAUUUUUAGUCAACUUUUAUUAAU